UGCGGAUUAGCUCAGCCGGUUAGCACGUCCCGAAAGCAUUCGGGAAGGUCAUCGGUUCGACUCCGUUAUCCUCCA
rnacentral:tRNA from 1 species